rnacentral:lncRNA from 1 species
CAAGGAUGAACUCAACUAUCCAGCAGCUUGGUGAUCUUUUCUGCCAUGGGAUUGUACCAACACGUUCCACCAACAGUAUCUGUCUGCUAAUGACAGCAAUCAAUCUCCAUGCCUGGUUAGGGGUGGAAGCCUCCUGACAAAUUAAUGGAUUCUGCCAGUGCUAGUGCAGAGCACAGUGGUGCACAGAAAUUCAUUCUUCAGUGGACAGAGGGUAUAUUAACUAGGACUUAACCAGGACUCUUGCUGCCAACACCUGUUUUGGGAAAGGCCAUUUCUAGAAACAGUAUGAAAUGAGGUUCUCAAGGGUUGUGUCAGAAUUUUAUGCAUUCUGUUUUAGCUGUUAUUGCUGGAUUUUGCUCCCACUAAGAACAGUGCACUUUCAGCAGGCCGAUGACACAACCCAAUAAUUACAACUGGCUCCUACCUAUGCAGUGGUGGCUGGAAGUCCCUUGCACUCUCCAUGGCCAUCUGCCAAGUGAAUCCCUCACUGCCCAGUGUGUGCAAGCAGAUGCUGCAAUAGCUGACACAGUGACUAUACUUGAGGAGAGGGAUAUCGGCACAGAGUUCAUCCUUCAGUCUUCCAAAGCUCAGUUUUUCUCCAGGAUUUUGGUGAGGAGUUCAUUCAGCCGGCUCACCAUUGGUCUGGGAUCUUCAUUCAGUCCUGCUGCUAUCAUGGCAUUCUCAUAGAUCUGAUCAAGCAACAUCUGGGCCAGAUCAGGCUGACUGUCCUUCAGCUCAUUAAGCUUCUUAAUCAGAGUGUGUCCCGUGUUGAUCUCCAGGGUGGGCUGAAGGAGCUGGGCACGCUCCUCCUGGGUCUUGGCCAGCUGCUGCAUGCGAAGGAAAUGGCGGGCAGCCCCCAUCUCGAGCACAGUGAUCAUGGCAGGGUGGGUGUCCAGCCGUGUGGUCACCUUAACACCAGUGACUCGAGAGCCUAAGGCAUUUCUCAUCCAGGCCAUCAGGUCCUCAGCCUCCACAUCUGUCAGACGUUCUGCAGCUGGGCGGCUCUCCUCAAACUUCUCUUCCUUAUAGUGAUCAACAACAAUGUCUGUCUCCAC